rnacentral:rRNA from 1 species
AGAGUUUGAUCAUGGCUCAGAAUCAACGCUGGCGGCNNGCCUAACACAUGCAAGUCGCACGAGAAAGCGGGAGCAAUCUCGCAAGUACAGUGGCGUACGGGUGAGUAACACGUGGAUCAUCUACCCUGGAGUGGGGAAUAACGCUGGGAAACCGGCGCUAAUACCGCAUAUUCCCGAGAGGGGAAAGCAGCAAUGCGCUCGAGGAGGAGUCCGCGGCCGAUUAGCUAGUUGGUAGGGUAAAAGCCUACCAAGGCUGUGAUCGGUAGCCGGCCUGAGAGGGCACACGGCCACACUGGCACUGAAACACGGGCCAGACUCCUACGGGAGGCAGCAGUGGGGAAUCUUGCACAAUGGGGGAAACCCUGAUGCAGCGACGCCGCGUGAGCGAUGAAGCCCUUCGGGGUGUAAAGCUCUUUCGGCAGGGAAGAUUAUGACGGUACCUGCAGAAGCAGCUGCGGCUAACUACGUGCCAGCAGCCGCGGUAAUACGUAGGCAGCAAGCGUUGUUCGGAGUUACUGGGCGUAAAGGGUGUGUAGGCGGCCUGUUAAGUUCCGUGUGAAAUCUCCCGGCUCAACCGGGAGGGUGCGCGGAAAACUGGCGGGCUAGAGUGCGGGAUGGGAGAGUAGAAUUCCUGGUGUAGCGGUGAAAUGCGUAGAUAUCAGGAGGAAUACCGGUGGUGUAGACGGCUCUCUGGACCGCAACUGACGCUGAAACACGAAAGCGUGGGUAGCAAACAGGAUUAGAUACCCUAGUAGUCC